rnacentral:rRNA from 1 species
AGAACGAACGCUGGCGGCAGGCUUAACACAUGCAAGUCGAACGCUCGUAGCAAUACGGGAGUGGCAGACGGGUGAGUAACGCGUGGGAACAUACCCUCCGGUUCGGAAUAGCUCAGGGAAACUUGGAUUAAUACCGGAUACGGCUGAGAGGCGAAAGAUUUAUCGCCGGAGGAUUGGCCCGCGUUCGAUUAGCUUGUUGGUGAGGUAACGGCUCACCAAGGCGAUGAUCGAUAGCUGGCCUGAGAGGAUGAUCAGCCACAUUGGGACUGAGACACGGCCCAAACUCCUACGGGAGGCAGCAGUGGGGAAUAUUGGACAAUGGGCGCAAGCCUGAUCCAGCCAUGCCGCGUGAGUGAUGACGGCCUUAGGGUUGUAAAGCUCUUUCGCUCGGGACGAUAAUGACGGUACCGAGAUAAGAACGCCCCGGCUAACUUCGUGCCAGCAGCCGC